GUCUUCCAGUGGCUCAGUCAGUAGAGCAGGAGACUCUUAAUCUCUGGGUUGUGGGUUUGAGGCCCACGUUGGGCA